CCGGCCCGAGGAGGAGGAGGAUCCUAGGACCCAGGUAAAUCUUGUUCGAAACUGGCAAUGCCAUUAAUAUCCUUGGUGCAGUACCGGCGGAAGGAUACUUAAAAUACUGAGAUGAUAGACCAUUGAGUUAAUGAGAUUGGGCCUAAAUGGAUAAGAAAGGUAAGGAAAUACUUAAUACUUUUCUUACAUCUACUCAAGUUCCUAUUUUUGCUUGGCCUGCACAAUCUGUUCCUAGCCCUGCUGCUUGAUCCUUUUACAUUUGAUAUGGAAAUUUUAUUUGGAUGUUUAUAUUUUCCUUCCUUUUCCACAUUAACUACUCAUACAAUUAAAAAAUUAAUGACCCUCUAAAUCUUUCAUUUACCCUUCUCUAAUAUCCACAGCAAGAGAAAACAAAUGUUCUUUGCAUUUAACUUGCAUGAAUUGCACUUGUUGUGAGAGGGAAAAUAGAUUUGGAACAUCAAAGUAUCUUUCUGCAUAUUUUUUCUGGGAGCAUUUCUUUCCCCUCCUCCCACCAUUGACUCAUCUGACCUCUUUCCUUUCCAAGUCUGAGUUGAUGGCUAGAGUCGUAAGCACUUCAUAGGCUGCUUCAUAGUCCCUCUUGCUACAGCUUUAUAUCAGCGUAAUUUCUCCUAGACCAUGGAAUUAUAUUAAAGUGAACAGAGAAUUGGACUCAUGGUUCGUGAGACGAUGAGUUAACUAUCUGAAAGGUGGGUGAAGAUUGAACACUCUAGAAGAUGCACAAGACAGUAUUAAAUCGAAUUUGAAUUUAAAAAGACAUUGAUGUUAGCUUUGUAGCCUUCCUGGAAGACAUGGGUUUGAAUAAAGAGACUGUUAAGGAGAUUUUAAUGUGGGGAGGAAGGAAAAGUAGAGUGGGAAAAAUAAACUAACUGGAGAGGCAAGGUUGGCCUCUGGCACGAAGCAAAGGAUGAGAGAAGAUACAGGAGCAGAGACCAAAGUUGUACAGAACCCUGAUGUGAGAACAACAAUAAUCUCUGGGAGCCCAGAAAGGAGAGGGAGCUAGUAUCACAAGUGCAGGCCUAACAAGACUGCAUAAUCACAGCACAAAAGCUAUAACUAGAAACUUUUUAAAGGUAUACAAGGGGGCUGUGCCCCCACUCGCCAACCCCACUCUCGCUGGCUCCUUCACGGGCAGAGAGUCUGUUAAUCUUGCACUGAGCCCACCCGUGCUCUCCACAGCCCCAAGUCACUCGUACUCUUCUCCCCUCCCUCCCCAUCACACCUCUGGAUGGGCCUCUGUAUCUAAAACCACUUGGCUAAUCCCGCCCGCUCGCUCACUUUAUUUGCCAGCCAGCCCACCUUCCGCACUCUUUCUGCUCCUGCCCCACCUACCAAUAAAAUAGUUCGCUCUUGUACAGAGUUUGGAGCCGUUCCUGGCAGCGAGCACGGGGAAGGGCUGUGCUCUGCGGGUUUGUGAGCCUCAUGUGUAACCAAAAACAAACACUAUUAGUCAAAUGGGGCCCGACUCCAAACGAAUCCCCUUCAUUCCUGGUGCUCCUGGCUCACUAGCAAGGGGCAGGAGCUGGGUUACAUGUGAGCAGUGAGAAAGGGAGAGAAUUCCCCACUUUAUGCUCCUGGCUACUGCCCAUCUUUGUAGGGCAGCAGCACUCCUGAUGUGCCCUUCCAGCUGGCAAGCAAGCUCCUGCUGCAGGGCUGGGAAACGCUCUGAGCAGAGAGGGCACAAUGGAACCACGGGGGGACUACCGAGUUUUACAUGCACUACUGAGAACCAGAUUUUGGUCAUGCGGGAAGAGAGCCCGAUGGUGUAAUCUGGGUUGCUAGUACUUAUCCCGAGCUCCAUGGCCCACAGCCUACCUCCCUCAUUCCAUUCCUGCCCCCACCUCCAUUCCUACAUCCCUAGCCCCCAUCUUCAUUCCUACAUUCACCCGUCCUUCCUAACCCCUGCCACUACCCAUCCAUAUUCCCACUUCCUUCCUCCAUUCCUACACCCCCAUCCUUCUGUAAUGCCUCCUCAUCUGCACCCCCACACUGUCCAUCUCCCUGCCUCUAUUCCUAUAUCCCCUCACUCCCACUAUCCCCCCUUACUGCACCACCCAUCUCCAUGGCUUUGCUCCAUGCUGAGCCUGGGGGAGCCCAGAGCACAGAGCAGCUGCUCUGGAAAGCUGGGGAAGUGGCCAGGGUGCAGUGUAACUGCAUUGUCCCUAAAAGGCCAGGUGUGAGGUGUGGGCAAGACAUACCCAGGAGAGCCCACCUGAAUCACAGGCUUGGCCCUGAUGCUUCAGUUGAUGAACUCCUUCCCUACAAGGCUGGGGUGCAGCACUGCAAACAGGGCCCCUCUGAGAGCCAGAGAGGAGAAGCAGGGAGCUGGCUCCCCAGCAGGAAGUGGGCUUUGUGAACACAAGGGAAGACAAGGAGCCCUCAGAGGACAAGGCAUUCCGGAGGGAGUCUAAGGGUCCGCAAAGCUCAGUGAGGGCAAACCCCCAAAGGGCUGCACCUCCACGGCAUUCAUCAGAGCCUGGGUGUCUUCGGAGAGUAGAUGUCAGUGCAGGGGCCCUGCCCAGCCUCUAGGUGUCACUCGGAGAGCCCCCAUGUCAUCCACAGAGCCCCAGCCUCAGCCCUUCACCACAGGGUGGGCCCCACGUAGGUCUCCUGCAGGACCUGCUCAUGCACAGGCAGGCUUUCCGCCAUCUUGGGUGGGAGGGAACCAGGCAGCAGCACCCCC